AAUCCUAACAAUUUUACUCCAUCGCUCCGGCGCCGAUUCACGAGCUCUCCGGUAUACUCUCUUCUUCUGUUGUCAGAAUUUUCGUAGAUUCUCUCUCGAAAAAUCUAGCUUUUAGAUCACUCUUCUAUUCUCAGGACAAGCGAAGAAAUGAAUGCACUUGGGCAUAGAAAUGUUACAUCUGAACCACCUAGUGCUUCUGCUGCAAUGUCAUCUUCAAAAGCUAUUAGUAAGCCAAAACUGUCCCAAGGUUCAAAUAUGCAGU